CAUGUGUGGCAGUUCUCACGAGAGUUUGCGAGCGAGCUGCCAGUUAGCGACAGGGAUGGGUGGCUGGGCCAGCUGAGGAGAAGCGGUGGCUGCCUGGCCAGCCAUAGAGAAGCGGCGGCCACGGGGCCGGCCAAGGAGAAGCUGCCUCUGAGGGAAAACUAGGGGCACAGAUGCUCUGCGCCAGAGGUCACCCAGUGCAGCACGGGCCAGUGGAGCAGCAACUACACUACCCUGGAUGGGCUAAAGAGGAUUUGGAGGCCCUGAACAUCAGCCUGUAGUGGAUCAAGGACCAUUGUCUGAGUCAACGGCCCUUAAGAAUCAGCUUGAAUUAUAAUCACAAGAGUAUCUGGAAAAUGAGAAACCACAAUAGAAACUUCUUCGAGCAUUUGAGUUUCCAUCUCCAUUGAUGACAGUGAAUUAUACUUCCAGGACUAUUCAAAUAAAACCCUCAGCUGAAUUAUUCAAAAAAUUGUCUACUGACAGUUUUCUGAGCCAUCGUCAAAUAUAAAGAUUAAUUAAUUAAAAGGAAACAGCAGCUGACAUCCAGAGCAGCAAUCGCUGGGCUGGUUUACCCUCAGAGACACAUGUUUGAAAGGCAAAGAGGAUUUAUGGAGGCAGGGAAAAGAGUGAAAAUCACUCCCCUCUCUCCCCACACACAUGCUCAGCUGCUUGGGAAGACUCUGGCUAAGUUAAGAGCAGCCUCCCUGUGCACUCUCUGAGUGGAUGCAGCUUCUCUAAGUCACCAGAAUUGCUGCUCUGUAUGUCAACAAAUAAGAUGAAGGGACAACAUUAGACAUUGGCUGAUAUACAGAGCAAAGAUGCACCUGUUCAGUGAGAGAACAGCCUAAUUGCACCAGUGAAGCAGGAGAGUGGCAUUUUUUCAUGCCCUCCCCCAGGAGGCCCUUUGUGUUACCACUAAAUAUGUCCUCAAGGGCUGCACAAUCCUCAGGGACAUAUUUUUGGAUGGCACAGAGGGCUUCCUGGGGAAGAGGACGGCGUCAAAAAUUGCCACUUCUUCACUGCAUCAUUGUAGUUAGUUCAGCUGGGAUGUUCUGCUAGGCUACUCUCUCAUUGCACCCGUGCCGCCUUCUCUCUAUGUCAGCCAGUUUACUUCUCAUGAACCACCCAGGUUUGCACACAAAUUACAUGCUUAGUUAAGAGUAAAUUAAAUUGAAGUCAGUGAGACUUACUUCUCUUAAACACUCAGGGCUUUUUGAUUUAUUAUGUUGAUAUUGAUAAGGAGCUGAAAUCCAUCUUGAGCUCUCAUGAGUACACUUUUAUAAUAUAUAUGUACUUAGUUCCUUUGCCAAUGUGGGAUUCAGUGUUAAAUACUCCAUAUUAUUUGAUAAAAUUCUGAACCUCUUUA